rnacentral:rRNA from 1 species
AGUGAACGCUGGCGGUAUGCCUAACACAUGCAAGUCGAACGGCAGCACAGUAAGAGCUUGCUCUUACGGGUGGCGAGUGGCGGACGGGUGAGGAAUACAUCGGAAUCUACUUUUUCGUGGGUGAUAACGUAGGGAAACUUACGCUAAUACCGCAUACGACCUACGGCUGAAAGCAGGGGAUCUUCGGACCUUGCGCGAUUGAAUGAGCCGAUGUCGGAUUAGCUAGUUGGCGGGGUAAAGGCCCACCAAGGCGACGAUCCGUAGCUGGUCUGAGAGGAUGAGCAGCCACACUGGAACUGAGACACGGUCCAGACUCCUACGGGAGGCAGCAGUGGGGAAUAUUGGACAAUGGGCGGAAGCCUGAUCCAGCAAUACCGCGUGGGUGAAGAAGGCCUUCGGGUUGUAAAGCCCUUUUGUUGGGAAAGAAAAGCAGCAGGUUAAUACCCCGCUGUUCUGACGGUACCCAAAGAAUAAGCACCGGCUAACUUCGUG